AGUGAACGCUGGCGGUAGGCCUAACACAUGCAAGUCGAACGGCAGCACAGUAAGAGCUUGCUCUUACGGGUGGCGAGUGGCGGACGGGUGAGGAAUACAUCGGAAUCUACUUUUUCGUGGGGGAUAACGUAGGGAAACUUACGCUAAUACCGCAUACGACCUACGGGUGAAAGCAGGGGAUCUUCGGACCUUGCGCGAUUGAAUGAGCCGAUGUCGGAUUAGCUAGUUGGCGGGGUAAAGGCCCACCAAGGCGACGAUCCGUAGCUGGUCUGAGAGGAUGAGGAGGGGGGGGGGAGGUGGGGGGGGGGGGGGGGGGGGAGGGGAGGCGGGGGUGGGGAGGGGGGGGCGAGGGGGGGAAGGGUGGGCGAGGGGUGGCGCGUGGGUGAAGAAGGCCUGCGGGUUGUGAGGCGGGGUGGUUGGGGAAGAAAAGCAGCAGGUUAAUACCCCGCUGGUCUGACGGGACCCAAAGAAUAAGCACCGGCUAACUUCGUG
rnacentral:rRNA from 1 species